rnacentral:rRNA from 1 species
UACGUAGGGACCGAGCGUUGCCGGGAUUAUUGGGCGGAAAGAGCGUGUAGGGGGCCACUUAAGUCCUGCGUGAAAUCUUGCGGCUCAACCGCAAGCGGUCGUGGGAAACUGGGUGGCUAGAGUGCGGGAGAGGAGAGUGGAAUUCCUGGUGUAGCGGUGGAAUGCGCAGAUAUCAGGAAGAACACCCGUGGCGAAGGCGGCUCUCUGGAACGCAACUGACGCUGAGACGCGAAAGCGUGGGGAGCAAACAGG